GUAGGUGGCAAGCGUUGUCCGGAAUCAUUGGGCGUAAAGCGCGCGCAGGCGGUCCUUUAAGUCUGAUGUGAAAGCCCACGGGCUCAACCGUGGAGGGUCAUUGGAAACUGGGGGACUUGAGUACAGAAGAGGAAAGCGGAAUUCCAAGUGUAGCGGUGAAAUGCGUAGAGAUUUGGAGGAACACCAGUGGCGAAGGCGGCUUUCUGGUCUGUAACUGACGCUGAGGCGCGAAAGCGUGGGGAGCAAACAGGAUUAGAUACCCUGGUAGUCCACGCCGUAAACGAUGAGUGCUAAGUGUUAGGGGGUUUCCGCCCCUUAGUGCUGCAGCUAACGCAUUAAGCACUCCGCCUGGGGAGUACGGCCGCAAAGGCUGA
rnacentral:rRNA from 1 species